rnacentral:lncRNA from 1 species
CGCCGAGCGAUUGGGAGUACAAGAUGAUGGAGCAGAAAGGGUCUAGACGAGUCUGGGAGUUCUCAAAAGUAGAAAGCUGAUACGAGAUUGGGAGGUAGAUACCGUGGUUCGACGAGUCGACGGGUGUUCUAAGCGAUUGGGAGUACAAGAUGAUGGAGCAGAAAGGGUCUAGACGAGUCUGGGAGUUCUCAAAAGUAGAAAGCUGAUAC